GCCAGGUUCCAGGGGUGCACUAGAGGCAGGGCUGGCCUGGGGUCACUGGUGCUGGGGACAAGCAGGCUUCUCCCCUCCCCCAGGCUUAUUCUGAUCUCAACUCAAAAUGGGAAGCAGCCCCACCAAGCAGAUCCCUGCUCCAGGAGCUCCUGGGGAGGGGGCUGGGAGCAGGCAGCGGCCCUGGAGUGGGUUUCCGGUGACUGACAGGGCUCGGCCUCAGCCUGUAAGAGAUAAGGUGAGGUAGCCAGGCUGGGCCACCACUGGUGUAAGGUACCAGCCUGACAGCUUGCCACAUGCUGUGAGACAAGGGACCAGGCCACGACUCCAGCCAGGCAGCUAGAGGCCCUGGCUUGGUUCUUUUACUUUUUCAUUUUAAAGAGAAUAAAAUAAAACAAAACAAUGGGAAUGAUACUGCAUUUUGAAAAUAAGACAGUAGAAAAUGAACCACUUUUUCUUAAGUGUUUUGUAACAACUAUUUCAGAAGGGAUCUGAUAAUGCACAUUGUUAUCCUCUAAACAGAUGCUCAGACCACCACACACAGGCAUGCAGAGUAAGCACCAAGUUGUCUCUUUACUUCAGCUGCCAUCACCUCAGAAAUUUCAGAUGUGAGCUUCUAAUUUCUUUUGCAGCUGUGUCAUCAGGGCUUGUCCUGGGUGGGCUGGAGGUCUGAGAUUGCACCCUGCUUCUUUGCCCUCCAAUCUGAGGUUGCUGGGGUGGCAGAGCGGUACAGGGCAGCUGCUCAUCAAUGUUCCCCUAAAUGCAGUGGGGCCUCGGGGGCGUGGCCUCCUCUCCUCCGGGCCCCAGGCAGGAGGAGGGAGAGAAGGGCAGGAGGGGCCCUCAUUAGAAGGUGCAGCUGCUGCUUCUCCUCCAGCGGUGGCAGCCUCACUAGGUGGGGAGGGCAUUUCUUUCUAAUGAAUUGACUAUUACAUUUCUAAAAUUCUAGAAUGGCCAGCAGACCAUUGAAAGAUACCACUUUAGGCUCGGUCUUGAUUCAGGGCCAUUCUGGCUUGAUUCUUAUGUCUCCCCAGCACCAAGCACUGUGCCUGCCAAAGAACGGGUCCUGACAUUCUGCGGGAAUCUGGUUCUGAUGAUGGCUCAGUAGAGGAUGCUGGCUCCAGUCCUGCUUGGAAAGCACAAUCUGGUGGGAAAGGAUCACUCAGAAGAUAAGUUUGAGACUUGAUCCAACAUGGCUGACCAGAGGCAGCAGCGCAUCAGACACGCUCAGAAACGAGACUAAGUGGAGUCCUGGAGGGGCUGUUCCCAGGCCGAGUGACCUGUUACAUGUGUGAUGCUGUGGCACGUCACUCAGAUCCCUACAGGGCUUCUUCGGUCCCAGGGGUGUUGGACACUCCAGGCUUGGGAUGAGUCCUGCCCAGGAAAUUACCUUGGCCAGAAAGAGCUGCUCCAUGGAGUGCACCCCCCCCCCUGGAACGAGCCAGAACCCAGGACUGGCCCAUCAGAGGUGGAAGGCCUGGUCCUCUUGCCUGGCUGUAGGACCAAGUGAGCCCCCACCCUGCACCCUUUGCAACUGAGGCUGCCACAGGCCCUCACUGUCCAAUCUAUUUCCUUUUUAUAUUUAUUUAUUUAUUUAGCCUUUCCGAGACAGGGUCUCACUAUUCAGUUUAGUCUGGCCUUGAUCUCACUUUGUUGCCAAAGCUGGUCUCAAACUGACAGUUCUCCUGCCUCAACCUCCCAAAUGCUGGGGUUACAGGUGUGCACCACCAGACUCAGCUCUUAUUUUUAGUACUGGGGAUCAAUCUCAUGACUUUGAGCUUCCCAGGCAGGCACUGAGCUAUACCCUGGCCCCUUCUCUCCUUCUCCUCCAGGAGCUAUUCCUGAGCCCGUUUGCUAUACAUUUACCACAAGUAAAGCUCCAUGAGUCUGUUUCCAAAAAUCUGGCCUAAAACAGCCAAAAACUUAGAAAAAACCAAGCAGUAGUAAUAAGACUGUAUUUGCUGGAGUUAUAGCAAUAAAAUCCAAAAUAAAGUUAAAAGAAAUGGGUGCUGCCUCUGGCAAGACAGAAAAAUGGCAAUAUCUGGGGUAGGGGAGAAGAAUGUUUUGUUUUGUAACUAUACAAUGACCUUUUUUUUGAGACACGGUCUCUGUGUCGUUACUUUUUUCUUGUGGCUGGGAUGAAAGACUUGAAAAGUUAAAGGAAGAAAGGUUUAUUUAGCUCACACUUUGUGGAAGUUGCAGUCCAUGCUUGGCUGGUUCCAAGGAAGACUAACAUGUGGCAGAGGGCAGCAUUUCACGGCGGCAGAAAACAGCAAAAGCAACAGGCAAAGGCCAAAAAAGAGGAGCACGGAGAGCAGACCCUUCCUGUCCCUCACAGUGUACACAGGCUUCCUGCCCCGGCGCAGGUGUAGCACUCACAGUCACAAUGCCAGCACUGGACCAAGGGUCAGCCACGAAUUCAGCAGCCUGCUCACACGACCACAUGAGGCUUUUAUGGGGGCAUCCAGACACAAACUGUAACAGUCUCACUCUAAUUCAGGCUGGCUUUGACCAUUCUAGGAUUACAGGUAUGGGUCAUCAUGCCAUGCAAUUUUCUUUAAACUACUGUAUAUGUAAGUAUGACUUUGAUGAACAUUUAAAAAACUAAAUUAAGAGAAAAAAGACAAAAGAGGGUAUUGGGGAUGUAGCUCCGUGGUAGACUGCUUGCCUAGCAUGUACAAGGCUCUGACUUCGAUCCCCAGUACCUAUCUAUCAUCUCU